CUUAUGAAAUAUCAUUCAUAAGUUGCUGCAUUUGAAUUACCACAUUUUAAACUGUUGCUUUAGCAUCUGAAUUUGCUGCAUUUUAAAUGCUGCAUUUGAGUUGACACGUUAAAUCUACAAUAAAUAUUGUUUAUAAACUAUUGAUAACUUUGAGUUCUUUAUCGAUGGCUAAACAAACAUGUAAAAAUAGUCAAAGUUGCAAACUAAGUGUUAUGAUUUGUUUUGCAAGUGAGUUUUUAGAUUCUGAGUUAUUAAGAGAUGUUAUAAAGUAUGAUCUGCUUCUAAGAUGAGAUGAAAAUUGCAAAGCAAAUGCAAAACUUAAAGAUGCAAAAAAGUUUUUCUAAAGUGAAAACACAAUGGUUGAAAGCGAAUCCUGAAGUUCCUAUUGUGAUAGACAAAGUGGGUGUUAAUAAAAUAAUAAAAGUAUGGAAAAAAGCUACCAAUAUUAUUAACUACAGGUGUAAACCUGAAAUUAUUUCUAAGUUUAACUCUACUCUGGACAAGCUAUUUGAUAUAGCAAAGUGCAAGAGUGACAUUGUUUCUUGUGAAGAGGCAAGUUGUAAUUCUUGUAAUUUUAAAGCGCAUCUUUCUUGUCAAUGCAAUAUAGAAAACAAAAUUCCUACAAUAGAACUUCAGUUUAAGAAAUUUCAAAGAGAAAAAUUUUGAACAAAAAGUAGUAUGCAAAGUGGGUGCUCUGGAUUUAAAGAAACCAAUAGACAAGAAAAAAAUAAUAAAAGAAAGGCCGCUAGAAAAAAGAAGCCACAAAUAGAAUACCUAUCUUUUUCAUUCUCAAGAAAAUGAAAUCAAAGAAACAAUUGAUAAUAUUGCAAAUACUGACGAUGAAGAUGUUGUUUCUGACAAUAGUUUUAAGUACAUUAGUAGACAAGUUUCGAAAAAGACAUUGAAUAUAGAAGAAGUUGCAUUAGCAUCAAUAAGAUAUGGGGUAUCAAAUCGAGCAACUGCUGCUAUUUCAACAUUAGCACUGAAAGCAGCUAAAGAAGCAGGCUUUCUUAAAAAGAAAGUGUUUGACAGUGAAAUAGUGACAGAUCAUAAAAAAAUUGAAAGAUCUAAAUUGAAGGUGAUGAAACAAUGAUGUUGUAAAAGAUGGAGUUCAAUGUAUUUUAUUUGAUGGAAGAAAGGAUGAAACAAAAUGUUCUUUGAUGGGAAAAGAUGGAAAAUUUCACCACAGACUUGUUCAAGAAGACCAUUAUUCGGUUUGUGCAAAACCAGGUGGUUUAUAUCUGUACCAUUUUACAAAUGAUAAAGAAAACCGAUCUGAGUGUAAUACCCCAGCAGAGCACAUAGCAGAACAUAUAUAUAAAUGGAUUAUUGAACACGGAGUAGAAUCAACUCUAGUUGCUGUAGGCUGUGAUUCUACCAAUCUAAAUACAGGUAAAUGAUUGAUAAUAAAUACAGGUAAAUAUUUGAUAAUAAAUGUCAUACAUAUAUUUAAACACAAUUAUUUUUUAGGUUGGAAAGGAGGUAUCAUUCAUUUUUUAGAAAAAAAACUUAAAACAAAACUUAUUUGGAUAGUUUGCGCUUUGCACAUAAAUAAACUACCCUUGAAGCACUUAAUGUCAAUUAUUGACGGUAAAACAACUUCAAAUAACAAGUUUUCUGGCAAUAUUGGUCAACUUGUUCCUAUUGCCAAUAAUCUCAUAAUUUCCACUGUGAUUAAUUUAUUAGAUAUUGAUGAAGAUAUUUUAAAAACUUUAUCGAGUGAUCAAAAAUAUCUAUACCCAACAACAAAGGCUAUUAAAAAUAAAAUAAUGCCUGAAAAUUUAAAAGAAAUUUAAGUUGGUCCCCACAAUAACGCACGCUGGUUGAAUUCGGCAAGUAGACUUUGCAGAAUUUGGUGUUCAGAGCAUGGACUAAAUAAAAAUGAUAUUGAGAAUUUAAAACAACUUGUACAGUUUUGUGUUGGUGUAUAUUCUGUAUUAUGGUUUGAAAUUAAAGUAAAACAUAAAUGGACCAAUGGACGAUACCAUAUUAUCAAACAGCUGGAACUUAUCCUAAAAAUGAACUUAAAUAUUUAACAAGCAGUUUUGUCCUAUGUUUGCUCCUCUGCCUGGAAUGCUCACAGUGAAUUUAUUCUACAAGCACUACUAUGCAGCAAAGAUAAAAAGGAGAGGAAGUUUGCAGUGAAUAAAAAACUUUCAAUAAGGAGUUUAAGCUCCCUAGGAAUUACUGCUGUUAGACCAAGAAAUAUCCCAAAUAUUAAUACUAAUGCUGAAACUAAUAUCGAAUUGAUUGAUUGGAGUAAUGAUAUUUACGAACCUUUGCUCACAUGCAAGAUUGAUAAAGAAAAACUUAUUAAGUUUUUAGAAGUCCCAAUGGAAGUUCUAGAAUUUCUUGUACAUGGGCAAUCCAUAGAAAAAAUUGUGAAAGAAGUUACAAGAGCUUCUAGUAUAGUUUACGGACAGGAAAGACGAGGCGGGUUUAUAAAGGCAACAAUAACUCACAGAGAACUUCUUCCUGUUUUAGAAUCUAAGCAGAAUUUGCUUAAGCUUUUUUAAGCAAUAAGUUUAUAUUUAAUGUAUAUUUAGUAUAAUUAAGUUUAUUCUUGCAUUGUGAGUGAUAAAUUAGUAAAUACUGCUAUAAACAAUAAUUAAUGAUUUUUCAUGUUUCUAAUUGGAUGCGCCUCGCGUUGUGGUUGAGAAAUCUUUUAAUGCUGCAUUACAUUCACAUAACAUUGUUAUGGAAGAUAUUACAGCAAAAUAUAUAU